rnacentral:rRNA from 1 species
GAUGAACGCUGGCGGCGUGCCUAAUACAUGCAAGUCGAGCGAACGGACGAGAAGCUUGCUUCUCUGAUGUUAGCGGCGGACGGGUGAGUAACACGUGGAUAACCUACCUAUAAGACUGGGAUAACUUCGGGAAACCGUAGCUAAUACCGGAUAAUAUUUUGAACCGCAUGGUUCAAAAGUGAAAGACGGUCUUGCUGUCACUUAUAGAUGGAUCCGCGCUGCAUUAGCUAGUUGGUAAGGUAACGGCUUACCAAGGCAACGAUGCAUAGCCGACCUGAGAGGGUGAUCGGCCACACUGGAACUGAGACACGGUCCAGACUCCUACGGGAGGCAGCAGUAGGGAAUCUUCCGCAAUGGGCGAAAGCCUGACGGAGCAACGCCGCGUGAGUGAUGAAGGUCUUCGGAUCGUAAAACUCUGUUAUUAGGGAAGAACAUAUGUGUAAGUAACUGUGCACAUCUUGACGGUACCUAAUCAGAAAGCCACGGCUAACUACGUGCCAGCAGCCGCGGUAAUACGUAGGUGGCAAGCGUUAUCCGGAAUUAUUGGGCGUAAAGCGCGCGUAGGCGGUUUUUUAGUCUGAUGUGAAAGCCCACGGCUCAACCGUGGAGGGUCAUUGGAAACUGGAAAACUUGAGUGCAGAAGAGGAAAGUGGAAUUCCAUGUGUAGCGGUGAAAUGCGCAGAGAUAUGGAGGAACACCAGUGGCGAAGGCGACUUUCUGGUCUGUAACUGACGCUGAUGUGCGAAAGCGUGGGGAUCAAACAGGAUUAGAUACCCUGGUAGUCCACGCCGUAAACGAUGAGUGCUAAGUGUUAGGGGGUUUCCGCCCCUUAGUGCUGCAGCUAACGCAUUAAGCACUCCGCCUGGGGAGUACGACCGCAAGGUUGAAACUCAAAGGAAUUGACGGGGACCCGCACAAGCGGUGGAGCAUGUGGUUUAAUUCGAAGCAACGCGAAGAACCUUACCAAAUCUUGACAUCCUUUGACAACUCUAGAGAUAGAGCCUUCCCCUUCGGGGGACAAAGUGACAGGUGGUGCAUGGUUGUCGUCAGCUCGUGUCGUGAGAUGUUGGGUUAAGUCCCGCAACGAGCGCAACCCUUAAGCUUAGUUGCCAUCAUUAAGUUGGGCACUCUAAGUUGACUGCCGGUGACAAACCGGAGGAAGGUGGGGAUGGCGUCAAAUCAUCAUGCCCCUUAUGAUUUGGGCUACACACGUGCUACAAUGGACAAUACAAAGGGCAGCGAAACCGCGAGGUCAAGCAAAUCCCAUAAAGUUGUUCUCAGUUCGGAUUGUAGUCUGCAACUCGACUACAUGAAGCUGGAAUCGCUAGUAAUCGUAGAUCAGCAUGCUACGGUGAAUACGUUCCCGGGUCU